AGAGUUUGAUCCUGGCUCAGAGCGAACGCUGGCGGCAGGCUUAACACAUGCAAGUCGAGCGGGCGUAGCAAUACGUCAGCGGCAGACGGGUGAGUAACGCGUGGGAACAUACCUUUUGGUUCGGAACAACACAGGGAAACUUGUGCUAAUACCGGAUAAGCCCUUACGGGGAAAGAUUUAUCGCCGAAAGAUUGGCCCGCGUCUGAUUAGCUAGUUGGUGAGGUAACGGCUCACCAAGGCGACGAUCAGUAGCUGGUCUGAGAGGAUGAUCAGCCACAUUGGGACUGAGACACGGCCCAAACUCCUACGGGAGGCAGCAGUGGGGAAUAUUGGACAAUGGGCGCAAGCCUGAUCCAGCCAUGCCGCGUGAGUGAUGAAGGCCCUAGGGUUGUAAAGCUCUUUUGUGCGGGAAGAUAAUGACGGUACCGCAAGAAUAAGCCCCGGCUAACCUCGUGCCAGCAGCCGCGGUAAUACGAAGGGGGCUAGCGUUGCUCGGAAUCACUGGGCGUAAAGGGUGCGUAGGCGGGUCUUUAAGUCAGGGGUGAAAUCCUGGAGCUCAACUCCAGAACCGCCUUUGAUACUGAAGAUCUUGAGUUCGGGAGAGGUGAGUGGAACUGCGAGUGUAGAGGUGAAAUUCGUAGAUAUUCGCAAGAACACCAGUGGCGAAGGCGGCUCACUGGCCCGAUACUGACGCUGAGGCACGAAAGCGUGGGGAGCAAACAGGAUUAGAUACCCUAGUAGUCC
rnacentral:rRNA from 1 species